UUUAAAGGACUAAACUCCCAACAAGUCCUCAUCACCAGCGCAGUCCAUGGGGGUCGGGUAAGUACAACAUACGUAAUCUCCCAUUACUUUAUGUUCUUAUCCCUUCAGUAAUCUAAACAUAAUUUUAUGUUUCAGGCUCUAGCUGCCUUUGGCCGAUUACUGCACAUGCUUGAUGAAAUAAGCUGAAGGGAAAAGAAAUGCAGACCAAAUUCAAACGUCUUCGAGAAGAAACCAAUGGUCUUAGAUCUGAACUCAAAAGGAGAAAGAUCAUGGUGUCAACUUCGUACUCAAAUCCCAAGAGUUAUCGAGGCAGUUAAAAACCCUAAAAUGGCAAAGUUUAGAAUUAGCCGAACAAAGGCAAAAACUCUGGAGGACCGGAUCGAGCUCAAAGGAAAAAAUGAAGAGCUAAAAAAGAUUGUGAAAGACUGCGAAUUUCAGCUUCGGGAGAUUCACAACUAGAUAAAGAGUCUAGUUAAAGGUGCUGCUCAAUUGGUGAAAGAACUAAAUGACCUUCGAGCCCAAUGCCAGCAAAUUUUCGAAGUUAAUAAGCAGAACGUCAUUGAAGAGUACAAAACAUCUCUCGAGUUGACUUAAGCAGCGGUAGAAUAGUUUGAAAAAGGCUAUCAAUUUCCCAAGGCCAAGAUCAAGGCAGCCGGCUUCGACCCCCUCCUCCUUGGCUUUUAUGACGACGAAGAAAGAACCGAGACCGAAGAUGAUCCCCCCACUGAC
rnacentral:lncRNA from 1 species